CUACGGGGGGCAGCAGUGGGGAAUUUUGGACAAUGGGCGAAAGCCUGAUCCAGCCAUUCCGCGUGAGUGAUGAAGGCCUUCGGGUUGUAAAGCUCUUUCGGCCGGGAAGAAAUCGUGCAGGCUAAUAUCCUGCAUGGAUGACGGUACCGGAUCAAGAAGCACCGGCGACUACGUGCCAGGCAGCCGCGGUAAUACGUAGGGUGCGAGCGUUAAUCGGAAUUACUGGGCGUAAAGCGUGCGCAGGCGGAUGUUUAAGCCAGAUGUGAAAUCCCCGGGCUUAACCUGGGAAUGGCAUUUGGAACUGGACAUCUAGAGUGUGUCAGAGGGGGGUGGAAUUCCACGUGUAGCAGUGAAAUGCGUAGAGAUGUGGAGGAACACCGAUGGCGAAGGCAGCCCCCUGGGAUAACACUGACGCUCAUGCACGAAAGCGUGGGGAGCAAACAGGAUUAGAUACCCGGGUAGUC
rnacentral:rRNA from 1 species